GGAGGCGAGUCUCGGACGCGAGAGACUGGGCGGACUGGCUGGACUGGCAGACGCUGGCGGGACGGGGUGACUCAGGCACGUCGCCCCGGAUGUGGCCACGACCGCCCCGCCGCCGCUCAGGUGUGCCCGAUCUCACGUCUGCAAGUCGGCGGGGCUGGAGCCUCUAAUCCCACCGCUCAGAGCCCGAGGCCCGGCCGGCCCAGCCCGGGAGCCGAGUCCCUCCCAGCGGCUCCCCCGGGGAAUUCCCGAGGGGGCGGGUGCUGAGCCGCCGCAUUCCGGGGAUGCCUUCCAGCCGGGGUGGCCCGGGCGCGCUCUCUCCGCGGCGGCGCGGGGCCAGCGAGCCCCAGGGCCAGCCCCACCCCUCGGCAGGACUGGGCUGGCCACGUCGCCCCAGCCCGAGAGCCCCCGCCCCGCAGCGCCCUGCGCUCAGGCCGCGGCCGAAGCUGCCGCCUCGCUCCCCGGAGUCGCACCUUGCUGGACUGGAGCUCGCAAACCCCCAGCUGCUCCCCGCACCUCGGGAGCCGCAGCGCCCAACACCCUACGGGCCCGAAGGUGGCGCCCAAGAAGUGAACCAGAAGGGAAGAGCGAAGCACGGAGGCUUUAAUGGCAGAGGGCCCGGUGGCGGGGAAGGGAGGCAGGCGCGGGCCCCGUGGGCCUCGGGUCACAGCGUGUGGAGGUCAUGACUGCGACGGCUCAGCUUCUCCGGGUCGUCUGACGCCAUGAGGGAGAAGUCGCGGAAGAUGUCAAGAUACGUCUCAUCUCCUGGGGGAGGGAGGAAAGGCCGGGAGGCGGCUGGGCCCCAGUGCAGAAGGGCAGGAUCCGGCGGUUGGGGCCCACCUGGGGACCUCGCGCUCCGAGCCUGGGUGGGAACGUGCGCGCCGCGGGCACUGCGCCAGCACCUAUGCCUUGCCAGGGCCUGGCACGUCGCAUGCGCCCAAUACGCAUUUGUUAAAUAACGGAAUGAAUGCAGCUGGGCACUAGGGAGAGAGGUCACCGUGGACCAGAAGCCCAGAGUUCAGGUGUUGGGCCUGGGGGGUGGGGUGGGUGUAUUCUUUACCUGCCUGCCCCUGGGCCGCUUCAGCCUCCCUCAUCUUUGCCAGUCGUAGCCUGAAGAGGAGGGAAUUAAGAAAUGAACGACACUAUCUUUGGCCGGGCGCGGUGGCUCACGCCUGUAAUCCCAACACUUUGGGAGGCCGAGGCAGGCGGAUCACGAGGUCAGGAGAUCGAGACCGUCCUGGCCAACAUGGUGAAACCCCGUCUCUACUAAAAAUACAAAAAAUUAGCCGGGGGUGGUGGCGCACGCCUGUAGUCCCAGCUACUCAGGGGAGGCUGAGACAGGAGAAUCGCUUGAACCCGGGAGGCGGGGGUUGCAGUGAGCCGAGAUCGCGCCCCUGCACUCUAGCCUGGGCGACAGAGUGAGACUCCGUCUCAAAAAAAAAAAAAAAGACUAUCCUCACCUCCCCCACAACUUCCCAUCCUUUGAGCUGGGUUGCGUUCCGUUCAUCUGCCCCCACCCCCGGGGUCACGUCUAGUGCUAAAAAGAUGCCUGACAGCAAUGUUGAUGGGCGAAUUACGCCUCUCAGGGUGGGCCAAGCAUCCUUGCACCCUGCCCGCCCUCCCGCCUGCCUUCUACUCCACGUCCCAGUGCACACUUCGCGCAGCCUUUCUCGAGCCUGGCCCCGGCGCUGGCCCAGCCCCUUUCCGAGGCCCCACAGCACAGGCUUCUGUUUCGGCGUCAGCCCCGCCCGCCCGCCCGAACGUGGGUGGGCGGGGGUGGGGGGAGUCCCAGCGCCAGCCCCGCCCCUUCAGGCAUUCUUACAGGGUGACGAUGUCAGCGUUGGCUGUUUCCAUGGCGAUGGUCAGAGGGUCCCUGCCUUCAGAGUCUCGAGCCCCCAGAUCAGCUCCCCGUUUCAGGAACAGGCAGGCGAGCCUGGAGAGAAGAGCCAGGGUCAGCCGGCCGCCCAACUUCUCCCAGCCUUCCUCCCCAUGCCAUCAUCCCUACCCCGUGUGGCCAAGAAUGGUUGCGUGGUGCAGCGGGCCCCGGCCCGCACUGUCCGCUUGGUUCACGUUCGCCCCGUUCUGGAGGAGAAACUCACAGGCCAGAAGAGAAUUCUGCAUGGAGAAGUCGAGAAGGGGGGUUGAGGGUGGCAUCCCUAGUGGUGGAUUUCAAGAUGUCUUAGGGUGGCGCCAGUUCAGAGAAUGGGAGGGUGGAGUGUGGUAAUCAGGAGUGUGGAAGGGGUUACAGCUAACUGUAACCAAGCUAGGCUUGGCUCUAGCUCUUUGCAUGUAUUCAUAUAUAAAUCCAUAGUACAAGCUUUUGAGGUAUGUUACUAUUUUACAGAUGAGGCUGAGAGGUUAAUAACUUGUUAAAAGUCUCCUGUAGGCCGGGCACAGUGGCUCACGCCAGUAAUCCCAGCACUUUGGGAGGCCGAGGCGGGUGGAUCACAAGGUCAGGAGAUCCAGACCAUCCUGGCUAACACGGUGAAACCCUAUCUCUACUAACAAUACAAAAAAUUAGCCGGGCAUGCUGGCUGGCGCCUGUAGUCCCAGCUACUCAGGCAGCUGAGGCAGGAGAAUGGUGUGAACCCGGGAGGCGGAGCUUGCAGUGAGCCGAGAUCGCACCAUUGCACUCCAGCCUGGGGGACAGAGCGAGACUGUCUCAAAAAAAAAAAAAAAAGUCUCCUGUAAGAGGUGAGAGCCUGGGUUCAAACUCAGGUUCUCUGCCUCCAAAUCACACACUCUUAGCAACCAGUCUCUAUUGUUGAUCUCUCCCUAUGGGUGGAAGCCCUAGGGAACAGGUGGUGGGGAAAGGAGGUAAGGGCAGGGCCCAGAGUCAGGAGUAGGUGUCAGAGCCCUAGGGUGGGGUGGAGAGGUCAGCAGGGCUCUUACAGCAGCUGUGGCCUGGAUCAGCGGUGUGGCAUUAUCUUGGCCCCCAUUGACCCAGUUGACAUCAGCUCCAUGGGCAAGGGCAUCAGCCAUGGUGGGAAGAGAUGGAGGAUGCCCAGACGCUCGAAACAGUAGGGCCCCAGGGUGCAGGCUUCCCAGGUCCUCAGAGGGGGGCUCUGUUCGGGGGAUUUGGUUCUGUUAGGGGGAAGCAGCUCCGAGUCUGGGAAGAAAACCCUCAGCAGUGUCCCAAUGCUAUAAUGGGACAGGUCUCUUCUAAAUGAUGGGGAGCUUGGGACUGUGGAGGGAAUAGAGUGAUGCAAGUGUGGGUAUGUGUAAGUAUGCGUAUGCAUGUGUACGAGUCCCUAGGGUGUGGGGGAGAGACGGCAUCAUCACCUCAUCUGGUCCAACCACACUUGGCCUCAGCUCUCAACCCCUGACGCUCCAGCCAAACCCACCCCCUCUCUCUCUCCUUUUCUUGUGCUGUUGGCACCCCUUACCCUCCCUGCCCACGCCCAGCCCCACAUUCCUUCUCAUUCUUAAUGUCACACUCCACCGUAACCCCUGAAACGGCAGUCCGGUCCCUCCGACAUUGUCCAGCGGAAGGCCUGGGCUUCACACUCUGUGCCUCCCGGCGCUACCUGGCACGAUGCCGAGCACACAGCAGAUGCUCAAUGAAUGCCCAACCAACCCUAUACCUGGCUUGGAUCUCAAGCUCCCUGGCCGGGGCCUGAUGGAAGGCUUUGGGGGCACAGGAGGCUGCCCCCUUGGGCGCCCCCGGCCACCUCUUCGCCCUCGAAUCUCAGGCAGCUUGGUCAGGAACUUCUUCUCCACGUAUUUAGCGUGAAUCCAGGCCUCCUUCUCCUGCCUGUGGGAGGGGAGAAGCACGCAGUCUUCCCUCUUCUGCUCCAGGGGUCCCCCAUUCCCCUGGGAGGCUAAACCCCAAGCUCACCGGGAGCAGCUGGGCCCUGGUUUCUUCACUGCCAUGGCCUCCACGCGGGCCUCAUAGAUCUGGUUGAUGAUGACAUUUCCCAGCUCACACAUGAGCUUCAGGAGGCCCAGGCAGAGGCAGAGACAGGGAAGGUGGGGGUGAGUGACUCCUCAGGGAUCACGCCCCUGCACCGCCAUGUCCUUGCCCCACCCCAAGUUCUUGCCCCCAAUCUUCACAAUACGCUAAGUUACCUUCACUAGUUCUGGCUCCCAUGAGUCAAGGGUCAGAGACCGGACUUUGGAGAAGUGAACACCAAGGCUCCUGGAGGGCCAGAGGGGGAGGGUCAGGCCCUGUGCAGGGGGGCAGUGGCCUGGGGAGCUGCUGCUGCUCCUGAAGACACUGGGAGGCAAGGCUGGCAUGGGGGCCCGUGCAGAGGUGCUGGCCCAGGAGGCAGGGCAGCUGCGGCCAUGUAACCGCCAUGUAGCCUUGACCUGGCCCUGGCAGGACUCUGCCUCGUCACCAUUCCUUCUUCCUUAGAUACUUGCUAAGGCCUCAUGACCGUUUCUCUGCCUAGUCUUCACUGGCUCCCCCACCCUCAGCAGCCUUGACCCCACACUUCUUCCAACCAAGCCAACAAAUUCUGGGUAUCCCCCAAUUCUGGCCAGACUAGGACACAGAGGGGCUAGGCCCGCCUGGGUCCAACUGGCACCCCAGAGGCUUGGGCCCAGGCCUGGUACCCAGUGACAAAGCCAGAAGCUAAGAGAGGAAGCCAGGACAGGGAAGGAAGAGGGGCCGGUGUGAUGCGCUCUGUAUUGGAGCCGCACUGUGGCCCGAAGGAGUGGGGCUCCCGCAUGGGCCUUGUGGAGUAACCUGUGGAUGCCGGAACACUGAAUGCAGAGGGUGACACCAAGGUUGAUGCUGGCCCACUCCGGGGCUGGCUCCCGGCAGUCGCAGCACUGGGCAUUGCCAUCCACACUCUGGACCUGGGCCACCACGUGCCCGACUCCCCCAGGCUCCCUUCCCCUGGCCAUUCCACCAGAGCCCAGGGUGGCAGCAGAGCCUAUGGCCAGGUGUCCUGAGCCCUGGGGGAGAGAGGGGAAGAAAGGGUGGCCAAGGGGCCUAGGGUAAAGGGUGCCCCAUCUCCACAGGCAGCCUGGCUCCGCACCCCCAGGUUAAGGUACCUGGCCUGGACCCCGGGGGCUGUCAUCAAGGCGAGCCUGACUGAAGGCAGAAGCAAUGCUGCUCUGCACAGCACUGACCCACAGCUGCAGGAGGCGCUCUGAGUCAGCCUGGAGGAGGCAGGACCUAGGUAGGAGGGUGAGGGAGAUGGCAGAGGGGUCUGAGGCCUGGGAAGCAAAGUGGCAGCAUGGGCAGACUGACAUUCAGCCAGUAUUCAACCAGUUCCAGUUGCAUUGAAAGACUUCUGUACCAGUUGGUAAUAUUCUCCUAAAUAUCCCCCAUCACCCUGUACCCUCUUCCACAAUGGCCCCCCAGUCCAGCCGCCAAAGAAUUAAAUUAAAGUCUGGAGCUGCAUGGGGGGCCUCCAUUGUGGUGGGCCCUGCCUUUCAGAUUGGCAGUUGUUUAGAUAUAUUAGAGUAUCACCCCUGGGGAUUGCACUCACUUGCUGGUGGACACCACCUCAAAGCAGAACCGCCUUUCUGAGUCAGGGCAGAGUUUCACUGUGCAGAGACGAAGGUCAUCCACCACCACAGUCACAGGGUCCUGGCAGGAUAAGGUGAUAAGGGGCCAGAUGUCCAGCUGCAGGCAAGAGCUGAGUCUCCCUGGGGCCCAGGCAUCCAGGACCCAGGUCCACUCACCUUGUACUUCUUCUGGUAAACCAGUUGGUUGCUCUGAAUGGUGAACCAGCGUCUGUAAGAGAAGGAAAUCAUUACAGACAUAGGCAGCUUUAGGAUGAGGGACGGAAGAGAGGCUGUGCUUUUUGCCCAUGAGGAUCUUACUGAGAGGACAGACACCUGGGCUGACUGUUCCACGAGACAUUCCAGAGAAGGGUGGACAAUUGUGCAGAUUGGAACAUCUAAAGGAUGCUAUUCCUAUCUUGGACAACCCAGAUUUCAUAUAGUUAUGAAGACAACUUUCCAGCAGAUGGCAGUAAAAUUCUUUUUCUAAUAAAAUGUCUAUUGCUACAAUUUAAAAAAUACUAUUUAGGCUGGGCUCACACCUGUAAUCCCAGCACUUUGGGAGGCUGAUGGGGGUGGUGGAUCACCCGAGGUCAGGAGUUUGAGACCACCCUGACCAAUAUGGUGAAACUCCGUCUCUACUAAAAAUACAAAAAUUAGCCAGGCGUGGUGGCAGGCGGCUAUAAUCCCACCUACUUGGGAGGCUGAGGCAGGAGAAUCGCUUGAACCCAGGAAGCUGAGGUUGCAGUGAGCUGAGAUCGCACCACUGUGCUGCAGCCUGCGCAACAUAGCGAGGCUCCAUCAAAAAAGAAAAAAAAAGAAAAAGAAAAAAAGAAAAGAAAGAAUCUUGGGGGCCAGGUACAGUGGCUCACGCCUGUAAUCCCAGCAAGUUGGGAGGCCGAGGCGGGUGGAUUGCUUGAUGUCAGGAGUUUGCAACCAGCCUGGGCAACAUGGUGAAACCCUGUUUCUACCAAAAAUACAAAAAUUAGCCGAGCGUGAUGGCACACGCCUGUGGUCCCAGCUAUUUAGGAUGCUGAGGAGGGAGGAUCACUUGAACUCAGGGGAUAGAGGUUGCAGUGAGCCGAGACUGCGCCACUGCACUGCAGGCUGGGCAACAGAGUGACACCCCAUCUCAAAAAAAACAGAAAAAAAAAAAGAAAAGAAAAAGAAAAAAGAGUAUCUUGGGGAAGCAGCUCCAUUUUCUAAUUUGUACAGAGAUCCCAUGUGGGCUAGCAGUGGCCCUAGAAGGGAAAGGAGUCAAGUCACAGCAUGCCACCAUCCUGUUCCAAACCCUAUAGCGGCUCCCAAUUGCUCUCAGAGUAGACCCCAAAUCCCUACAAAAAUCUAUAGGGCCCUAUAAUGACUCAUGCCCCCAUUAGCUCCGAUUUCAUCUCCUGCACAUCCUCCUCCCUCACUCUGUCCAGACCCAGGGCCACCACCCUGCUCUUCCAACUCCCCAGCUAUCUCAGGGCCUUGGCACUGGCUCUUUCUUCUGUCUAGAACUUUCUUCCCCCAGAUAUCCUUCAAGUCUUUGUUCAAAAGUUACCUUCUCAUGAAGCCCACACUGCCCAACUAUUUAGAACUGUAACCCCUACCCAGCUCCCCACAUCCCUUGCUUUAUCAUCUUUCUCCUAUAGCAAGCACUAUCACCUUCUAACAUAGCACGUAAUUUACAUACUAGGUUUAUCCUCUGUCUUUGCUGAUGGAAUGAAACUCUACUGAGGCAGGGGGGUUCGUCUGUUUUUCCUUGCAGUGCUUAGUGUGCUAUUACCACUCGAAAAUACAUCAUUGGGUGGGGCGGGCUGAUUGGGGGUGUCCUCUCCUCACCUGCUCCAGGUCUUAAAUGCGUUGCUGGCCCGUUUGAAGAGAUGUCCUUCCAUCACCAGGCCACCAGGCCCCUCUCUUAAGCUUGGUUCUGGCUCCUCCCCACCCAGCUCCUGGAGGCACAAGAGGAUCAAAGGGCAACUGAGAUGGGCAGACACCAAGGCCAUAGGCAUCUGCCUCCUGCCCACAGCCCUAGCCCUUACUUUCUGCUUUUUGAAAUACUUUUUAAAAUUUAUUUUUAGAGACAGGGUCUUGUUCUUUCACCCAGGCUUAAGUGCAGUUGUGUGAUCAUAGCUCACUGCAGUCUUGAACUCCUGGGCUCAAGCAAUCCUCCCACCUCAGCCUCCUGAGUAGCUAGAACUAGAGGUGCAUGCCACCACACCAGCUAAUUUUAAAAUUUUCUGUAGAGAUGGAGUUUCACUACGAUGCCUAGGCUAAUCUUGAACUCCAGGCCUCAAGCAAUCUUCCCACCUCAGCCUCCCAACAUGUUGGGAUGACGGUCGUGGGCCACCGCACCUGGCCCCUCACCUUCUGUUUCAGCAGCACGUGUCUCUGCUCCAUGUCCCUCUUCUCUCGUGCUGAAUUCAAGACCAGCUGGUGCAACUGGGCACAGGAAGGGCAUCUCAGAUGUCCAAGGCCCCCCAGUUAGGAGUCCCUAACCUCCCUCUACCACCUGCUGUGCCCUGGGGCCCCACCUGGGCGCCCAGCUCCUUUCGAUACUGGGACAGCCGGCUCAGCUCCUCAUGGCCCUGCUGGAAAUGGGUAGCCUGGGCCUCCACCAAACGCAGCACCUGGGGGACAAGGCGGGCAGUGGGAAGGCUGAGGAAGAACCCCUCUCCCCAUUCCCUUGUGCUGGCAGCAGGCUCUUCUCCACCCUGCCCUCACCCCCGCCACAACUCACAAACUCCAUGAUGUCAAACUUCCUCUUGUCCUCAAUCACGUUGAUCUGAGGACGUAAAAGAGGACGUAAAAAACCCCAGAUCAGUCUUGAAGACACAGCACCCCUUCCCACUGCACACUGGAGACCCCCAAGCCUCGAGGUGACACUUGAGGCUCUGGUACCCCAGGAAGACAGAUUGGGGCAGGCACCUGCAGGGCAUAAUCCAGUGCCCGUCCCCGGUACCCAGCUCGAGCCGUCCUCAAAGCAGCUCCUGCCUCUUCUGCCUCCUGGGCCCGGCGCCUGGGAACCUCUGCGUUGUGGGUCAGGGCAGCCUCCAGGCUCUCAGCCCCCCGCCAGAAAUCCCGGCGAGCCUCUCGGAAACCCCGCAGACCUCUGAGGAUGGGAAAAUAACACAGAAUCGCAGCUAACACCCACCUGCCCCAGCAGAGCAUUCCCAGGGUAAAGCCCUCAUGUCCUUUCAGUUAGUCUCUGCAACGUGGGAAACCCAAGGUGAUCCCUGGGACGGAAGUCAGGACACCAGAAACCCCCAAUCUCACAACUCCGUCACUGGGGAGGCUCCUGUGGCCAUGGGAAGAGGGCAGCAGGGCUGGUUUCCGAGAAAUAAGGCCCCCUUCUCUCCCAUCUCACUCCCCCUUUAAAAAAUUUUUGUUGUUGUUGUUGUUUUUGUUUUUGAGACCGGGUCUUGCUCUGUUACCCAGGCUGGAGUACAGUGGCACAAUCAUGGCUCACCGCAGCCCUGACCUCCAGGCUCAAGCAAUUCUCCUGCCUCAGCCUCCCAAGAAGCUGGGACAACAGACAUGUGCCACCACGCCCGGCUAUUUUUUUUUUUUUUUUUUUUUUUUUGAGGCAGAGUCUCACUCUGUUGCCCAGGCUGAAGUGAAGUAGUGCGAUCUUGGCUCACUGCAACCUCCACCUCCUGGGUUCAAAUGAUUCUCCUGCCUCGGCCUCCUGAGUAGCUGGGAUUACAGGCACCUGCCACCAUGCCCGGCUAAUUUUUUUUUUUCGUAUUUUUUAGUAGAGCUGGGGUUUUGCCAUGUUAGACAGGCUGGUCUCGAACUCCCGACCUCAGGUGAUCCGCCCGCCUUGGCCUCCCAAAAUGCCGGGAUCAUAGGCAUGAGCCACCGUGCCCGGCCUAAUUUUUGUAUUUUUUGUGGAGACAGUUUCGCCAUGUUGGCUAGGUUGGUGUCCAACUCCUGGGCUCAAGCAAUCCUCCCGCCUUGGCCUUCCAAAGUGUUGGGAUUACAGGCAUGAGCCACUGCGCCCGGCCCCAUCUCACUCCUUGACCAGGGUCUGGAUCUGCUGCUGCAGUGUGUGUUGGGUGGCAUCUAGAAGCUCCUGAGGGAAGGAGAAGUUGGUAGACUGGGGUCAGGACCACAGGUGACCUGGCCACCACCCCGACAAUCCUUACCUUCCCCUACUUACCGCAUGGCUGUCCAGCUUGUGGUUCAGGCUCACGGUGAAUUUUUCCAGACACUCCUAGGCAAGAAGAGGCACAGAAAGAGUACCAGGCAUGGGGUGGCAGCACCCUCCCGACUCGAGACCCAGCCUGCUACGGCUGUCAUGGACAGCAGCCCAGCCCUGCUGUGGCCUGGAACCUGCAGACCCCAGGCCAGCCCUCCUCUUCCACAGCAUCACCUCCUCAUCCCAGACCCCUUCCCUCCCAGAUGCAGACCCUCCGCAUACCGCCAUCAUGGGCUCUGGUGGACCCAGGCGGGCCAGGUCACAAAUGCCGACAACGAAGGCGCGGCUGGCAGCAAGGUAAUGGCGCCCACUUUCCAGGAGACCAGUGCCCAGUUUCAGGAGCUGGGAAAGAAGGAGGGUAACAGGGAGCUGUGCCAUCAUCCUCACACCUGGUGAUGCCCCCACACCUGCCCCACUUCCUCUCCCCUUGCCCAGGGCGGCGCUCCCCUAUUCCUGCCUGGCCUCACUGCCCUCCAGGCUCAUCCAGCUCUCCCUGUAUCUAACACAUACCUGCUGUGUUCUUAUCGCUGCGUCUUUGCUCCCACUGCCUUGGGCCUGAAACCCAAUUCCUGCCCAUUCCUCUCAGCCUGUCGCCAACACCUCUGUCAGCCUUACCUCCAAAACAUCUUUCCCUGUCCACUCGCACAUAUCUCUUCCUGCCCUGCCUACCUGCUUAGAUCCAGAGCUCCGUGGAGAUUCCUGCAUGGUCUGGAUGCUCUACCUGGUUGCUAUUAAAUUCUACAGUAUUGGCCGGGCGUGGUGGCUCACACCUGUAAUCCCAACCCUUUGGGAGGCCAAGGCGGGCCAGUCGCUUGAGCUCAGGAAUUCAAGAGCAGCCUGGGCAACAUGGUGAAACCUCAUCUCUACUAAAAAUUCAAAAAUUAGCCAGGCAUGGUGGCACAUGCCUGUAAUCCCAGCUACUUGGGAGGCUAAGGCAGGAGGACUGCUUGAACCCGGGAGGCUGAGGCUGUAGUGAGCUGAGAUGGCACCAAGUGCCUAUAAUCCCAGUUACCUGGGGGGCUAAGGCAGGAGGACUGCCUGAAUCCGGGAGGUCAAGGCUGCAGUGAGCCGAGAUGGCGCUACUGCACUCCAGCCUGGGUGACAGACCGAGACUCUGUCUCGAAAAAUAAAUAAAUAAAUAAAAUCUAUAGUAUUUACUGCUAGGAGUUGUCCCAUUCUGUGCUCACUGCACGUUCCCUCAUAAAUAUUAAUCCAUCAUCUAGACCACGGGUCAGGGCCAAGAGGAAAUGCCGGGGUACUCCUGGGGCCCAUCCUAUCUGGCUCUUUUGACUGACAAAGAGACUUGAUAGGCCAGGCAAGGUGGCUCAGACCUGUAAUCUCAACACUUUGGGAGGCUGAGGUGGGUGGAUCACCUGAGGUCAGGAGUUGGAUAUCAGCCUGACCAACAUAGUGAAACCCCAUCUCUUUUUAUUUUUCUAUUUUUGAGACGGAGUUUUGCUCCGUUGCCCAAGCUGGAGUGCAAUGGCAUGAUCUUGGCUCACCACAACCUCCACCUCCCAGGUUCAAGCGAUCCUCCUGCCUCAGCCUCCAGAGUAGCUGGGAUUACAGGUGCCCGCCACCACGCCCAGCUAAUUUUUUGUAUUUUUAGUAGAGACGGGGUUUCACCAUGUUGACCAGGCUGGUCUCGAACUCCUGACUUCAGGUGAUCCACCUGCUUCGGCCUCCCGAAGUGCUGGGAUUACAGGCAUGAGCCACUGCACCUGGCCUGACCGAGAUCAAAUCUUAUCAGACAUCACCAUGGGUUGUCUGUGACAAGGUACAAGGAUGUUCACAAAUCACUGUGUGAAUCUGAGGACUCUGUGUCUAGUUUUUUUCCUUACCAUCUCAGCCCCUCCCCCUUAGAUGAGUAAGAAACUUUCAUAACACUGGACUAGUGACAGACUGGGACAUCUGUUCAAUAGAACAGUACUCAGCAAUAAAAAGGAACAAACUGUUGAUAUGUGCAACAACUUGGAUAAACUUCAAGAGCAUUCAUCUUUUAAAAAAUUAUGAUUAUUUUUAGAGUUGAGGUCUCUGUCGCCCAGGCUGGAGUGCAGUGGUGGGAUCAUAGCUCACUGCAGCCUUGAACUCCUGGGUUCAAGGGAUCCUCCAAUCUUAGCUUCCUGAGUAGCUGAGACUACAGGCACACACCACCAUGCCUGGCUAAUUUAAAAACAAAACAGAACAUUAUUUAGAGACAAGGGUCUUGCUAUGUUGCCCAGGCUGGUCUCGAGCUUCUGGCCUCAAGCAACCCUCCUACCUUGACCUCCUGAGUAGUUGGGAUGACAGGCAUGAGCGACCACACCCGGCAGCAGCAUUAUUCUGAGUGAGGGGGGAGGGGGAAGCCAAAUCUCAAAGGGUCACAUAGUGUAUGAUUCUAUAUAUGGAACAUUCUGGAAAUGACAAAAGUAGAGAGAUGGAGAACAAAUCAGCGGUUACCACAGAUUAAAGAAGUGUGGGAAGGGUGUCGGGUACCACUGUAAAGGAAUUCCUUGUGUCCAUUGGUGUGUGGUGAUGGUUAAAGGAAUCCAUACACGUGAUAAAGUACCAUAGAAUUAUACACAAAAACACCAAAAAAGAGUAUAUGCAAAAUGUAAAAUCAAAGUAGGAUCUAUAGAGUUUAUUUAUUUAUUUAGAGACAGAGUCUUGGUCUGUCGCCCACGCCGGAGUGCAGUGGCACGAUCUCGGCUCAUUGCGACCUCCGCAGGCUGGAGUGUGGUGGCGUGAUCUCGGCUCACUGCAACCUCCGCCUCCUGGGUUCAAGCAAUUCUCCUGCCUCAGCCUCCUGAGUAGCUGGGAUUACAGGUGCGUGCCACCACGCCUGGCUAAUUUUUGUAUUUUUAGUAGAGAUGGGGGUUUCAUCAUGUUGGUCAGGCUGUUCUCGAAGUCCUGACCUCGUGAUCCACCUGCCGCAGCCUACCAAAGUGCUGGGAUUACAGGCGUGAGCCACUGAGCUUGGCUAGAGUUUAUUGGGGUUUUUUGUUUGUUUGUUUUUGUUUAUUGAGACAGUCUCACUCUGUCGCCCAGGCUGGAGUGCAGUGGCACGACCUCCACUCACUGCAAGCUCCACCUCCCGGGUUCGCGCCAUUCUCCUGCCUCAGCCUCCUGAGUAGCUGGGACUACAGGCGCCUGCCGCCACACCCGAAUAAUUUUUUGUAUUUUUAGUAGAGACGGGGUUUCACAGUGUUAGCCAGGAUGGUUUCGAUCUCCUGACCUCGUGAUCCGCCCACCUUGGCCUCCCAAAGUGCUGGGAUUACAGGCGUGAGCCACCACACCUGGCCGAGUUUAUUGUUAAUUGUAAUGUGACACUAUUAAUGUCCUGGUUUUAAUAAUGUACUAGUAUUGUAUAAGAUGUCACCACUGGGGGAAGCUGGGUGAUGGGUACAUGAGACCUCUCCUCACUAGUCUCCUGAGUCAAUAAU
rnacentral:lncRNA from 1 species